rnacentral:lncRNA from 1 species
ACAAUUAGCGGGUGCAUUAUUAUUAAUUUAACUGGACAGCAAGUAUAAACCUCAUCGGCUCCUCUGACCGCCGACUGUGGGAUCCGGAGCCCCCACGCGCCCUAGAACCCGGGCUCCCUGCGCUCUCCGGCCCUGGGACCUUGACCAGACCCGGGGCGCUGCUUUGUCUCGGCUUGGACGGAAAAUGACCAUGUUUAUUUUGGAUAUGUAAAGAAUACCUUGUAUAACCAAGCUGAAAUAGUGAAACAAAAUAUCAUUACCAGUUUCAUCAUCUGGAAAGAAGGAAGUCCUGAUAAAUUCUUGUUGAUGCCUUAUCCCCAACCUGGUACUCAAAGAAAGGGCACAGGGAAAGGAAAGCAAGAAUCUUUCUGCCUGCCCUUUGCAUACCCAGGGCUCCAGUGCCGAUGA